GGAAGUGACAAGAUUUCUGCACAGAGAUUUUUCUUGGUCAAGAGUGCAACAUGAGCUGUUGAUAUGAACUUUACUGUCAGAUGAACUUUGGAAGUGACAAGAUUUCUUCACAGAGAAUGAAUGAAGUUGAAAGGCACCCUUGAAGAACCUGAAUUAUUUUAGCCCUAUCCUAGAUUCAUUAAUUAAUAUAUUUUAGUGUGUGAUAACAUGUGUGAAAUGUGAUCAAUUAUGUGACAAUUUUCAAAACU